rnacentral:sRNA from 1 species
GUUACCAUAGCGACGUGCACGCAGUAGCCAGGCCUGACCCGCUGGUCCCCUACUGGCGGGAGGAAAGAGGCGGCACCAUGAGCCACGCAGUAACCAUCGAGGAGCCCCAGGCCCAGCCGCAGGUGUCUCAAACUCGGUACCGGGAGAGGUCGCGGGCUGGGAGCCACAUCUCCUCCAAUCGAGCGUAUGAUUUUCUGUACGAUCCAUUGUUUAUUGUGUCAAGUGAGAAAGACCACACACAGGCAAAUAUCCAAGCCACCCUGAUUCGCAGCAGACUGAGAAAAGUUCCCAGGUUUAAAACCAUGUUCAGUAACCUGAUCCAUUAUCCAAGAUAUUCUCUAUAUUGGAGCAAGUCAGAUCCUGUCCCACCAUUUAUCAGUCGGGAAUGGAAGGGACAUAAGGAGAAACACAGAGAAGCCCUCCAGCAGCUCACCACAACUGACGCUUCUUUUCAGAUGCCUAAAGAAGUUUAUGAAGAUCCUGAAGUUACUGGAAAGAAUCGCUAUAAAUACUUUGAAAGGCCUUUUCUUCCAUUUUUUCAGCAGAUGCCAUUCAAUGUUGUUUAUGCCGUAUCCAAGGCAGAACCAUACACUUUUCCUCCUACUUCUACUAAGCACCUAUCCAUCCCUUCAAAGUCUACUGUGGGCACUCAGACUGAUUAUCGGGAUGCUGACGUUCAAACAGAUCCAUACUCUCCAGAGUAUGUAGUAUGUCAGGACUCAAUCCCUGAGCUCUUGACCCUGGCUACGCUUACUUGGGGUCGGGGUCUCCCAGCAGGACAAGCUGAGGUGGAGAUGAUAGAAAGAGCCCGCGAGAAGCGUGCUUGGGAAGCCACUCUCCCCGCUCUGAGUGACACCUCCCAGUUUGAGAAGAGGAGGAAGAUGAUGAAUGAAAUGGAGAGGAAGGAGUGGGCCUUCAGAGAGCAGGAGAUUGAAAAACUGCAGGAGAUUCGCCUGGAAGUUCUAAAAGAGCUGUUGAGGAAGCGUGAAGAGAAUCAGAAUGAAGUGAAUAUGAAGCACUUGAAUGCCCGGUGGUCUAAACUGCAGGAGGGAAAAGAGGCAAAAAUGGCAAAAAUUCAGCGCACGCAUGUAUCAACAAUCAGAAAACUUGUAGGAAAGAGAAAGAAUAUAGAAGGGAAGUUGGAGAGAAGAAAUAUCAUCAAGGAUUAUUCUGAUUAUGCAUCACAGGUCUAUGGACCUCUGUCUCGUCUUGGGUGUUUCCCAGACAACAACUCAGAGGACUUUGUAGUAAAAAACUACUAUCUCAACACCUAUGAAGGAUUAGUGGAACUUGAGUCAUGUCUCCCAGAUUUUGUGACACAACCCCGAAUCAGAGCUCCAAAACCUAAAGUCAUUACCACCAAAGCUGGUUUUCUGAAGAGGACAGCAAGGUUGGACUAUGAGUUGGCAGAGGUUCAUAAGGCACUGUUGGAUAAGAAGAAUAAAGUUCUUGAAGCAAAGAAACCCCCUCGCUUCCUUCAAAGAAACCCAAUACCUCAACCUCGGCUUCCAACUCCAACCUUGGAAAUGACAUCCAAUGAAGAAGAAGAAAUAGAAAUGGCUGUGAUCUACCUUCAAAAGUUACUCCGGGGCAGAGUCGUUCAAAACAUGAUGUUUGAAGGGAAAGAAAAGCGACUGGAGUUGAUCCAGGAGUUGCGCACCUGCCACGCACUACAAGAAGAUGAAAAGCUGGUGAAAAAAGCCGAGAAGCAAGUGACCCUGGCCUUACAGCGGCAGAGGAACUUGCAUGAGCACAAGGUUUUCCUUUUUUUGUUUUCUUGUUACUUUCUUGUUAAAUUUUCUCGCUUGAUUUUAUCAUCACACAGCACCAUUAUAAUAAAAAUUAAUGAAAUGAUGAAAAAGAAA